UGUAGCUUUUCUUCCAAGAGCUGCUCAGGGAAUGCCUGGGCAGAGCUGAGCUCGACCUAGAUAGCUAGUGCCAUCUGCGCUAUCUAGGUUACGAAGCGUAGUUAGUGGUUGUUAACCACGAAACUGGACAGUUCUUCACUUCUUGGUGACUCGGUGUCUACAAUGCUAGCUUACUGCGGUGGCUUAAAGGAGGGAAUAGAGAGGCCAGUGUGAACCUUAGGAGGAAGAGGCUAUGGCUGUAUGGCGUAGAGACCAGUGUGCUACCAGAUAAACCCAUUGAACAUUAUGUUGCCUUGACCAUGAAGUUUUAUUACAGAAACAGAAAAGUGAGUGAUGCAUAUAUCCAGAACUUGAAAGAGCUAUAAGUACAAGAAGAACACUCUCAGUAUUUCCAUGAUGAAGUUGACAUUGUUGUUUCCUAAAGCGUCUUAGGAAUGUUCAUGUGAUCCUGAGAGUGAGAAACUGCUUACUGUUGCCAUUCCAGCAGAUUCAUCACUUUUGUGAGAUAAAUUAUUAAUGGAAAAAUAUACUUUA